rnacentral:rRNA from 1 species
AGUGGCGGACGGGUGAGUAACACGUGAGAAUCUGCCCAUAGGACGGGGAUAACAUCGGGAAACUGGUGCUAAUACCGGAUGAGCCGAGAGGUAAAACAUUUAUGGCCUAUGGAGGAGCUCGCGGCUGAUUAGCUAGUUGGUGGGGUAAGAGCCUACCAAGGCAAUGAUCAGUAGCUGGUCUGAGAGGAUGAUCAGCCACACUGGGACUGAGACACGGCCCAGACUCCUACGGGAGGCAGCAGUGGGGAAUUUUCCGCAAUGGGGGCAACCCUGACGGAGCAACGCCGCGUGAAGGAAGAAUGUUUGUGGACAGUAAACCUCUUUUAAUAGGGAAGAAUUCUGACGGUACCUAUUGAAUAAGCAUCGGCUAACUCCGUGCCAGCAGCCGCGGUAAUACGGAGGAUGCAAGCGU